rnacentral:rRNA from 1 species
AAAAAAGGUAAGCUACUAAGAGCGAAUGGUGGAUGCCUUGACUGGUAGAGGCGAUGAAGGACGUACUAGACUGCGAUAAGCUACGGGGAGCUGUCAAGAAGCUUUGAUCCGUAGAUUUCCGAAUGGGGCAACCCAAUGUAUAGAGAUAUACAUUACCUAUAUAGGAGCGAACGAGGGGAAUUGAAACAUCUUAGUACCCUCAGGAAAAGAAAUCAAUAGAGAUUGCGUCAGUAGCGGCGAGCGAAAGCGCAAGAGGGCAAACCCAGUGCUUGAACUGGGGGUUGUAGGACUGCAAUGUGCAAGAGGUAAGUUUAGCAGAACAUUCUGGAAAGUAUAACCAUAGAGGGUGAUAGUCCCGUAUGCGAAAAACAAACCUUAGCUAGCAGUAUCCUGAGUAGGGCGGGACACGAGGAAUCCUGUCUGAAUCCGGGUCGACCACGAUCCAACCCUAAAUACUAAUACCAGAUCGAUAGUGCACAAGUACCGUGAGGGAAAGGUGAAAAGAACUGAGGUGAUCAGAGUGAAAUAGAACCUGAAACCAUUUGCUUACAAUCAUUCAGAGCACUAUGUAGCAAUACAGUGUGAUGGACUGCCUUUUGCAUAAUGAGCCUGCGAGUUGUGGUGUCUGGCAAGGUUAAGCAAACGCGAAGCCGUAGCGAAAGCGAGUCUGAAUAGGGCGCUUAGUCAGAUGCUGCAGACCCGAAACGAAGUGAUCUAUCCAUGAGCAAGUUGAAGCUAGUGUAAGAACUAGUGGAGGACUGAACCCAUAGGCGUUGAAAAGCCCCGGGAUGACUUGUGGAUAGGGGUGAAAGGCCAAUCAAACUUCGUGAUAGCUGGUUCUCUCCGAAAUAUAUUUAGGUAUAGCGUUGUGUCGUAAUAUAAGGGGGUAGAGCACUGAAUGGGCUAGGGCAUACACCAAUGUACCAAACCCUAUCAAACUCCGAAUACCUUAUAUGUAAUCACAGCAGUCAGGCGGCGAGUGAUAAAAUCCGUCGUCAAGAGGGAAACAACCCAGACUACCAGCUAAGGUCCCUAAAUCUUACUUAAGUGGAAAACGAUGUGAAGUUACUUAAACAACCAGGAGGUUGGCUUAGAAGCAGCCAUCCUUUAAAGAAAGCGUAAUAGCUCACUGGUCUAGUGAUUUUGCGCGGAAAAUAUAACGGGGCUAAAGUAAGUACCGAAGCUGUAGACUUGCACACAACUUAGAUUAUUUAAGUUUAGAAUAUGAGAAACUAAGUUAUAUGUUUAGUUAUAUUUUUACUGAUUUUUAUAGAGUAAAGAUAGAAAUAAAACUUAGUAAAAUCAGUAAAAAUAUUCUUAGACUAAAGUUAAGUAGUUUAAGUUGUGUGCAAGUGGUAGGAGAGCGUUCUAUUUGCGUCGAAGGUAUACCGGUAAGGAGUGCUGGAGCGAAUAGAAGUGAGCAUGCAGGCAUGAGUAGCGAUAAUUAAUGUGAGAAUCAUUAACGCCGUAAACCCAAGGUUUCCUACGCGAUGCUCGUCAUCGUAGGGUUAGUCGGGUCCUAAGUCGAGUCCGAAAGGGGUAGACGAUGGCAAAUUGGUUAAUAUUCCAAUACCAACAUUAGUGUGCGAUGGAAGGACGCUUAGGGCUAAGGGGGCUAGCGGAUGGAAGUGCUAGUCUAAGGUCGUAGGAGGUUGUACAGGCAAAUCCGUAUAACAAUACUCCGAGAACUGAAAGGCUUUUUGAAGUCUUCGGAUGGAUAGAAGAACCCCUGAUGCCGUCGAGCCAAGAAAAGUUUCUAAGUUUAGCUAAUGUUGCCCGUACCGUAAACCGACACAGGUGGGUGGGAUGAGUAUUCUAAGGCGCGUGGAAGAACUCUCUUUAAGGAACUCUGCAAAAUAGCACCGUAUCUUCGGUAUAAGGUGUGGUUAGCUUUGUAUUAGGAUUUACUCCGAAAGCAAGGAAACUUACAACAAAGAGUCCCUCCCGACUGUUUACCAAAAACACAGCACUCUGCUAACUCGUAAGAGGAUGUAUAGGGUGUGACGCCUGCCCGGUGCUCGAAGGUUAAUUGAUGGGGUUAGCAUUAGCGAAGCUCUUGAUCGAAGCCCGAGUAAACGGCGGCCGUAACUAUAACGGUCCUAAGGUAGCGAAAUUCCUUGUCGGUUAAAUACCGACCUGCAUGAAUGGCGUAACGAGAUGGGAGCUGUCUCAAAGAGGGAUCCAGUGAAAUUGUAGUGGAGGUGAAAAUUCCUCCUACCCGCGGCAAGACGGAAAGACCCCGUGGACCUUUACUACAGCUUGACACUGCUACUUGGAUAAGAAUGUGCAGGAUAGGUGGGAGGCUUUGAGUAUAUGACGCCAGUUGUAUAUGAGCCAUUGUUGAGAUACCACUCUUUCUUAUUUGGGUAGCUAACCAGCUUGAGUUAUCCUCAAGUGGGACAAUGUCUGGUGGGUAGUUUGACUGGGGCGGUCGCCUCCCAAAUAAUAACGGAGGCUUACAAAGGUUGGCUCAGAACGGUUGGAAAUCGUUCGUAGAGUAUAAAGGUAUAAGCCAGCUUAACUGCAAGACAUACAAGUCAAGCAGAGACGAAAGUCGGUCUUAGUGAUCCGGUGGUUCUGUGUGGAAGGGCCAUCGCUCAAAGGAUAAAAGGUACCCCGGGGAUAACAGGCUGAUCUCCCCCAAGAGCUCACAUCGACGGGGAGGUUUGGCACCUCGAUGUCGGCUCAUCGCAUCCUGGGGCUGGAGCAGGUCCCAAGGGUAUGGCUGUUCGCCAUUUAAAGCGGUACGCGAGCUGGGUUCAGAACGUCGUGAGACAGUUCGGUCCCUAUCUGCCGUGGGCGUAAGAAGAUUGAAGAGAUUUGACCCUAGUACGAGAGGACCGGGUUGAACAAACCACUGGUGUAGCUGUUGUUCUGCCAAGAGCAUCGCAGCGUAGCUAAGUUUGGAAAGGAUAAACGCUGAAAGCAUCUAAGCGUGAAGCCAACUCUAAGAUGAAUCUUCUCUAAGCUCUCUAGAAGACUACUAGUUUGAUAGGCUGGGUGUGUAAUGGAUGAAAGUCCUUUAGCUGACCAGUACUAAUAGAGCGUUUGGCUUAUCUUUAAUAAAGCAU